UGUCCCGAGCAUAUGCUGCAUCGCCCCUGCCGCUUGGCCUUGCUCAGCACCGGCGCAGCCCACCCCGCCGCCUGACCUCGCCUCGCACCGGAGGCGACCACCACCAUCCUCGCCGCUCCCUCCCCUCCCCUCCCCCAGCCCAAUCUAGAUGUCUAACCUGCCCCCUCCCAUCUCUGAGCAUAGCAUGCUCCGUCGGCGGCGGCGGCAGCGGCGGCUCCUUCUGGCCGGAUUGAGGCGCGGAGACCCAUGCUCCUCUCAUCUGGUUGGAUCGCCUCCUCCGGUAGGAUCUCCUCUCCGAGCUGGAUGUUGAGCACGAUAUCCCUGCUCUAUGGAUCGCCUCCCCUCAUACGGUCACCCCGACGCGGCGACCCUGCAUCCUGAGACCACCAACGCCGCCUCCUUCGACCACGGGAAGGAACCUAGAUGCACGUCAUGGAUGAGGUCGGGGCAACCUCCCCCACAGGCCAGUUUAUAUCAAAUUAAGCUUUCUAUUUUCUUCGAAUCUUUAGUUUUGCAGAUUAGUUUUGUCGAUGACGGCAAGGUGUUUGAUGGAAAUCCAACCUGACUGUACGCUUGCUAUGUAGAUAUUUUAUAUGUCCACAAGGCAUUUGAUGACAAUCCAAACAGGUAUUUGAUUAUUCUCAUAUGACUCUCAAUGUUAUGACUAGAUUAGUUCAUCUAACUAAUCAUGUUCAGGUUUUUUAGGCACUGUAUGUUAUCCCUAACCAAUUGCAGAGGUUGCAGUACAAACAUGUAGGAUACAGAUGCAUUCUAUAGUGUUCUUCAUGAUGGCUGUACUGACGGAUAUGAUUGCCCUUGUCUAAAUACUAAGAUCCAACUUUACAUGCAGUCGUACCCAUGCCAAUUUGUUGGAGCAGAGAUCAUCUGACUUAACUGAGUCUAAGUCAGAGGGAUGUCCAUCCAUGCCGCAUCGGACGACAAUGAAAUCUAGAGAGGCUCUAUGGCUCAGGUCGCCACGAAACCAGUGGCCCAUCCGGCUCCUUGUGACACAAGUGAAGAAACAACAUGCAAGGUGUACAGAAACAGCGUGGGAUCGACCAGAACGAUACCGCCUGGGCCGGAUGGUACGCGUUGCUCUGCUCGUGACCUCAUAAGAAGCAACUGAGAUGGAAUUAUGGAAGAAGAGGCUAACACCACACACAUCCAGAUUCCAAUGUACAAGUAGCAACUGCAAUUCCUAUUCAGUCGUAACAAUAAUAUUUAGUGAUCUCAAUUUUCAUGCCAUGCUGAAUUAAAUUCAGCUAACAUCAGCGAUUUAGUUGGACGCUUCCUGCACUUUCAACUUUAUAAAAUGAUUGUUUGCGAUCAGCAACUCAUUAGACGGCGGUGGCAGUGGCGUGAUUGGCCCACUUGAACACAAACCACAGGACGUCAACAACACAGGGCCUAUGGAACCUUGUCCUCUGGUCCAACCAUUGCUUCUCCUCGUGACACCUGUGGUCUACGGUGACAGGGCCUUGGCUGGCGGCUAAUGCCACGAGGCCUCGGAGCCGGACUUGUGCUCCUCCUCUUGGGAAGUCGUCGCCAGUGCGGUGGCCCUGAAGCCGGUUGGACGCGUCUUGUGUGCGCUAGGGCAGUGGCAUCGCAGAGGAUGAAACCAACACUGGUUGAGAGCGGCCUCGAUGGUGUGGUGUAGCUGACCACGACCGUGGGGAUGGGCGUGCCGGACGCGUGAAUGGAAACGGUGAGUCCAUGCCGGACCCUCCUUUGGUGAGCGAACAACGACGACAAGUGUAGGGGAACUCAAGAAAGGAGGGUUUUUUCAGAGCUGGAGCGCCACUUUCCCUCUCCCUUCCAUUGGACUGGGUUGCAUCAUGCUUUUGGGCCGAUCCUGCUCUGUGUUUCCACGGGCUCCACCUGCUGUCGUGGAUGCGCAAAGAAUGGGAUACACACAUCCAACAAAUUUCGCUAGGCGCUUGGUACUACAACUUCUACAUGUCGACGACUUUGGACAAUAAAGCGACGAUGCUCUACCUGGGCGUGGUCUAACUCUACCUCGGCCAGGUGUGGUGCCACGAGGAAGCACCCAAGGUACAUGUGUGUGUGUGCGCGCGCGCAAAUAUAGAUUAACUACAGAUAAGUACUUCGGUCCCAUCAGUCGCCACCAAGUAAAUCAGCAGCAGCCAGUAGUAGAAGAAUUCGGUUUGACAUUUGAUUUAUGCUGGGUAAUUUGAGGUGUGCCUGUUGGUUAUGCCAUUUAUCUUUUUUCUGUCAAGCAAUUGUUUUCUAUUGCUGUGAUAGGCCUGAAUCAGUUUUUGUUUUUUGUAUACACCGAGAUGAAGCUGAAAGUUAUGACGAUCAGAUCAAACACCAAAAGUUGUAACUCGGAUAUACCAUGAUAUUUUGAAUGGUGUGCUACCUUAAUAGCUUUCAGUGGUAUGUUGUCUGUUCAAUUCCGAAAAUAAGAUUUGUGGUAGGUUGACCUGUUGACAGCUUUCAAUGCUACUGUAUGUUGUUUGUUCAACUCCGGUCACCGAAGCUGAAUUUCCAUACAAAACCAAGAUUUGUUCUAGGUAAUUAUUUAGGCACCAAGCAACAAGUCCAUGGAUUUAAAAUAUGCACACAACGACAAACAUUUGUGUGGAUUUUCUGUAGGUGUCUCUGUUGACCUGCAUGUUUGCCUGAUGAGUGAAACAUAAGUGAUUCCAGUUCUACAUAUAUGUAACAUGCUAUUUUUGUUGGCUUAUAUUAAAAUGGGAACCGGGUAAGUUUCUGCAAAUGUAUUCUUUUGGUUGUUUUGUGUCAUUUGUAUCCCGGUCAACAACUUGAGAGAUUUACUUUGAGUAAAUUCAUGGUCUGAACUGGCUGUAGUAUUCAUUGAUCAAAUAAUUGUCGUCUAACGAGUGUUAUUGAUAAAGGAGGAGCUUGAGAAAAUGAAGGUAACUAUGAAGCUUCCUCUAUACAUGAUGAAGUGGGCGAAUGCGAAAUACAACAGGAGUUAGAGAAAGGCACACCUUGCACUUAUCGUUUCCUGAGUGCCAAAGAAAGGCUCACUGAAAGUAUCAAAUUUAUUUAAUGCGAGGUAGUGACAAGCUUUAGAGUUCAACCUUUUAGUGGAGUGCUUUUAUGCAUAUAAUCUUAAUAUAAUUCAUAAUUGUAAAUAAUGGGAAGCAAACAGUGGUACAUACAUUGUAUGCAUUGUGAAAGAAAAUAUUUUUAUAA